AAGGCAGGAGGUCAGGGAAGAGGGCGGUUCAGGGAAGCGGGCGUGGUCGCCUGAUGGAAGCAAAGCCGCCCACGGGAUUCCAGCGCAGGUGCCCACAAUCGGCAAUCUGGCCCUGCCGCCUGCUUCCUCUGCCACCUUGGGCAAGUUCCUUGACCCGCUCUGUGCCUCAGUUUCCCCACCAGUAAAACCGGGAUGACUGAUUCCCUGCCUCCCGGAGCUCCGUGAGGAAGGAGGGAGCUACCUGAGCCUCUUCUCUGGCCAUCUGUCAUUCUCUGCUUCUCCACCUGCCCAGGGAGGCAGACGGGGCAGACUCCGCUACCCCGAUGACGUGGGGCCCAGAGAGGCUCCGGGACUGUGCCCGGGACACACAGCCACCUGUUGCUUGGCGUGCAGGCCCCGACCUUCCUGCGGAGGCCUGGCGAGACCUGCGGCCUCCACACGUCUACCCGGCUGCUGUGCACGAACGCCUUCCGGAGAGAAGAUAAUUAUUAACCGCGGAGGCUUAAUGAGGAGACGGACCUACAAGGCUCCCUAAUACCAAUAAUUUGUACCUGUUUAAGAGCAAAGGUGUAACAACAAAGGCGACUGGAAACUACGACAUCACAUGCCCCAUCUCCUGCCUCCAGGACGGCGGGAGCUGCAGGCACCCCCAGACGGCACCCAGAGCCAGCGCCCUCCGCACUCCGCCUCUCGAGACACGACGCGGUCUGGGGGUGGACGGCCCCCUUAGGAGCCGACCCUUCCUGCUCCUGAGCCGCAGCCACGUGGCUCCCACAGCCAGCGAGGUCGGCCGGGCGGCGCUCGGCGGUGCCACUGAAGCUCGUGCGUGUGCGUGCAGGUUCCCAGGGCGAGUUCCGGGGUCCAGAUGUGCUGCCCAGCCUGGUGGGUGUGAAAGGAAGCCCUGCCCUGGCCACCUUGCCGACCUCACCCUGCAGCGGAAACACCUAGACGGCCACCUCCCGGGACUGCAGAGCCGCCAGACGAGAAGGUGGCACGAGGAGAACCGCCUUGCCCAGGUGCAAAGUGCCACCCGGGUCGGCACAGCAUGUCCCCCCCCCCCCGAGUGCAGUUCUGGGUCCUGGUGUCCUCCGGCCGGAAGACAUCCUCAGACCCAUGGGUCCUGCACCCCGACUUCCAUCUGACAGGACAGGAGGCAGGAGAGGGAUAUGCUGGGUCACCUGGAAAGGUUUCAGCCAAGCCUGGGGAGAACCUGGGCUCCUGCAAGUCCCCACCCGAAGCCUCCUUCCAGACGCCCCUGUCCUCAGCCUCAGAGUUUUUAUGUUACGAUAACAGAGGAAUAAAAAGACGGUCGCCUGUGCACUCUAGGGCCGUAAUUCUUGCACUCAGAAAACACUUUCGAACCUGGCCUCGGCGGGAAACGUGUCGAACAGAGCGAGCAUCUCAGAGCCAGGGCAGCGUCGCCACGGCUACAGAC